GAUGAAGAACGUAGCGAAAUGCGAUAAGUAAUGUGAAUUGCAGAAUUCAGUGAAUCAUCGAAUCUUUGAACGCACCUUGCGCUCCUUGGUAUUCCGAGGAGCAUGCCUGUUUGAGUGUCAUGAAAUUCUCAACCUUUUCAGCUUUCUUUGUUGAUCAGGCUUGGAUGUGGGAGUAUGCGGGCUUCUCAGAAGUCGGCUCUCCUGAAAUGCAUUAGCGGGACCUUUGUUGCCUGGCUUUGGUGUAAUAAUUAUCUACGCCAUUGUAGUCAAGCAGCUUAAAAUGAGGUUUCAGCUUCUAACCGUCUCCCCUGAGACAACUUUUUGACAAUUUGACCUCAAAUCAGGUAGGACUACCCGCUGAACUUAAGCAUAUCAAUAAGCGGAGGA
rnacentral:misc_RNA from 1 species